ACGGAAGGCAGCAGUGAGGAAUACUGGUCAAUGGUCGUAAGACUGAACCAGCCAAGUAGCGUGAAGGAUGACUGCCCUAUGGGUUGUAAACUUCUUUUAUACGGGAAUAAAGUGCGUCACGUGUGAUGUUUUGUAUGUACCGUAUGAAUAAGGAUCGGCUAAUUCCGUGCCAGCAGCCGCGGUAAUACGGAAGAUCCGAGCGUUAUCCGGAUUUAUUGGGUUUAAAGGGAGCGUAGGCGGGCUUUUAAGUCAGUGGUCAAAGCGUGUGGCUCAACCAUACCACGCCAUUGAUACUGGAGGCCUUGAGUGCACAUAAGGAUGGUGGAAUUCAUGGUGUAGCGGUGAAAUGCUUAGAUAUCAUGAAGAACUCCGAUUGCGAAGGCAGCUGUCCGGGGUGUAACUGACGCUAAUGCUCGAAAGUGCGGGUAUCAAACAGGAUUAGAUACCCUGGUA
rnacentral:rRNA from 1 species